UCGUUGCUCGGCAAGGUUUUCCGCGGCGGCGCCGACGUCGGGGAGGUGCUGGCGACCAUCGCCACGGUCGCGCCGGGCGAUCGCGACGGC
rnacentral:tRNA from 1 species